AUGGUAGGAGUCUCUUCCAAAUUGUGGAUUCAAUCUCAUCCCUUAAAAUAUAUGAGCCAUAGCUACCAUUUACUGGAAAUAUUAUUAAUUUGUCUUGCGCAUGGAGUUUUAUACACACAAUUAUCACAAGAGAAGAUCAAGAUUACAAAUGAGACAACAAAGGGAAGAUUCGAAGAAAAUAAUGAUCCAAGGAAUCCAACAACGAAGCAGACUUUUAGCAAAACAAACUUCUCUUUGUUUAGUUUUAAUGAGCAUCUUCAACGCGGACAACUUGUGAGUAUUGGACUUGAGUCCAAGCAAUUUCAACUGCAAGGACAAAAUUUUAGAAGUGUCUACUGA